CCUGUAUGCACAUGUCAAGGCCGCCAUUAUCUCUGCAGAAACUUCGCGGGAAAGUCAACAAAAAGUUGUAAAAACAGGAAAUCUGUUGACUAGACCAGUACCAAAACCAAAAACCCCAGGCCUACUGUCCAGUUGUAAGAUACACCCACACCUGGACAUAAACUGAAGUACAUCUGAUCAUCAAUGAUGUCUCAAAUUGUCCUGAAAUUCACUUAGCAAUGGUUUGUUUGGAUGAUGGAGGAUAUUUGGUACAGAUGUCGGAUUUUGCCUCUAAAAUAGAUCUGUCAGGUGACUUCUGGAUCAGCUGUCCAUCCUGGAGUGUGGAAUUUCAUCGGCCACUUAGACAACCCAAGUCUGACGAUUGUUCUGAAUAAAGAACUUUGG